rnacentral:rRNA from 1 species
GAUGAACGCUGGCUACAGGCUUAACACAUGCAAGUCGAGGGGAAACGACGGGGAAGCUUGCUUCCCCGGGCGUCGACCGGCGCACGGGUGAGUAACGCGUAUCCAACCUGCCUCUGACUGAGGGAUAACCCGUCGAAAGUCGGCCUAAUACCUCAUGGCAUCGUCUGCGGGCAUCCAACGACGAUUAAAGAUUUCAUCGGUCAGGGAUGGGGAUGCGUCUGAUUAGCUAGUUGGCGGGGUAACGGCCCACCAAGGCGACGAUCAGUAGGGGUUCUGAGAGGAAGGUCCCCCACAUUGGAACUGAGACACGGACCAAACUCCUACGGGAGGCAGCAGUGAGGAAUAUUGGUCAAUGGGCGAGAGCCUGAACCAGCCAAGUAGCGUGCAGGAUGACGGCCCUAGGGGUUGUAAACUGCUUUUAUGCGGGGAUAAAGUGAGGGACGUGUCCUUCAUUGCAGGUACCGCAUGAAUAAGGACCGGCUAAUUCCGUG